AGUAGGGCCUGCCCACUGAAAUUUUGAAGGGCCGCAGUAUCUUAACUGUGCAAAGGUAGCAUAAUCAUUAGUUUUUUAAUUGAAAGCUGGAAUGAAAGGUUUGAUGAGGAAUUAGCUGUUUCAAUUUUAAUUAUUUAGAAUUUUAUUUUUAAGUUAAAAAGCUUAAAUAAUUGUAAAAGACGAGAAGACCCUAUAGAGUUUUAUUAUUAUUAUUAUAUUAAAUAUAAGGAAUUUUAUUAUUUAUUAUUUUAUAAUAAUUUAAUUGGGGUGAUUAGAAAAUUUAAUUAACUUUUCUUAUAUAAAAUCAUUAAUAUAUGAAUUAUUGAUCCAUUUGAAUGAUUAUAAGAAU
rnacentral:rRNA from 1 species